UACCUUUGCGGUCCCUUUAGACGCUUAGCGUUGAAUGGCAUAACAAUCAUUGAAACAAUAUUGGAAUG
rnacentral:ncRNA from 1 species